rnacentral:rRNA from 1 species
UACGUAGGGGGCAAGCGUUGUCCGGAUUUAUUGGGCGUAAAGAGCGUGUAGGCGGUUUGGUAGGUCCGUUGUGAAAACUCGAGGCUCAACCUCGAGACGCCGGCGGAAACCAUCAGGCUAGAGUCCGGAAGAGGAGAGUGGAAUUCCCGGUGUAGCGGUGAAAUGCGCAGAUAUCGGGAGGAACACCGGUGGCGAAGGCGGUUCUCUGGGCCUGACCUGACGCUGAGGAGCGAAAGCGUGGGGAGCGAACAGG